AUCCUGUAGCACUAAUUGCAGGUGUUGCCUGCCCUAUGCGCGGUAAAUGGCCGCAGAACUUUAACUGUGCUAAGGUAGCAUAAUCAUUUGUCUUUUAAAUGGGGACUGUAUGAAUGGCUUAAUGGGAUAAAGCUGUCUUAAUAAAGUUUCAUAGAAUUUAUUGAAAAGGUGAAAAUCCCUUUAAAAUAAAAAAAGACGAGAAGACCCUAAGAGUUUAAGUUAAAAGAGAGUAUAUUUUUUAGAUUUUUGUUGGGGCAACAAAGGAGUUAUCCUCCUUUAAUAGACUAGAAAUUUAUUUUAGAAAGAAAACACUACCUUAGGGAUAACAGCACAAUCUGUAACGGGUUUGUGACCUCGAUGUUGGACUAGGAAUAGCUAUUUUCAGAAGAAAUAUGUUAAUGCUCUGUUCGAGCAAAUCUAACCU
rnacentral:rRNA from 1 species